rnacentral:misc_RNA from 1 species
CAGCCGCGUAAUUCCAGCUCCAAUAGCGUAUAUUAGUGUUGUUGCGGUUAAAAAGCUCGUAGUUGAAUUUCGGGAUUGGGAUAUAUCGGUCGUGCCUUUAGGGGCAUGAAUCGGUGUGUGGCCAAUUCUCACCUUCUGGUGAAUUGGGAUGCUCUCGGGUGUUUCAAUGAACUAGGACUUUUACUUUGAAAAAAUUAGAGUGUUUAAAGCGGGCAUUUUUGCUUGAAUACGUUAGCAUGGAAUAAUAAAAUAGGACGAUGGUUCUAUUUUGUUGGUUUUAGGACCACGUAAUGAUUAAUAGGGAUAGUUGGGGGCAUUAGUAUUCAAUUGUCAGAGGUGAAAUUCUUGGAUUUAUUGAGGACUAACUACUGCGAAAGCAUUUGCCAAGGAUGUUUUCAUUAAUCAAGAACGAAAGUUAGGGGAUCAAAGACGAUUUAUGUACGUCGUAGUCUUAACCAUAAACUAUGCCGACUAGGAAUCAGACAAAGUUAAUUUUUUAACGACUUGUUUGGUACCUUACG